UACGGGGGGGGCAAGCGUUGUUCGGAAUUACUGGGCGUAAAGGGCUCGUAGGCGGCCAACUAAGUCGGAUGUGAAAUCCUCAGGCUUAACCUGGGAACUGCAUCCGAUACUGGAUGGCUUGAAUCCGGGAGAGGGAUGCGGAAUUCCAGGUGUAGCGGUGAAAUGCGUAGAUAUCUGGAGGAACACCGGUGGCGAAGGCGGCAUCCUGGACCGGCAUUGACGCUGAGGAGCGAAAGCCAGGGGAGCAAACGGG
rnacentral:rRNA from 1 species